rnacentral:lncRNA from 1 species
AUGCUUAUUUUCAGUAAAAAAUUUUCAUCGAUUAUUUUAAUUUGGAUAUUUCAAUAUUGCAGCAAGAUAAGUUUGAACAGGAAUCAAUAUAUUAACGAAUUUGAAACCGACGUUCUAUAUUCAAAGCACAAUCGAGUGUUAGCAGAUAGAAGAUUGCCGAACAAUGAAAGUUAUAUAGGUCAAAGUAUUAAAGUUAGAGGAGGGAUGCCAAAUAGAACAAGGUCACCUUACGAAGACGAGUUUGAAACUGUAGAUGAAAUAGAAAAUGACAAUAUAGAAACUGCUUAUAAAGCAAGAGAAAGUAAUGUAAAAUAUAAUGUUAAUGUAGAAGAUGAAGAAGAAAUCAUAUAUACAACAUUUCCAAAUAUGGGUACUGGUUGUGAAUAUGCAGAAGAAUUUUUUUAUAAUACAUCAAAUACAAGACAAAGAUUAAUUUCAGGUUUCUUUAGAACACUUAAAAAAAUAGACAAAAAAUAUGAAAAACAAUUGUUUAAAAUGUUUGCUUUUAUAGACAAUAUGAAAAAUGAUCCUAAUAUACCAGCAUCAAAACGUUAUAUAGAAGCGUUUAAACAAAUGAAUGCACUAUCAAAUCCAUUAUUGGCUGCCGCUUUAAUUAAUGUAAUUGUUUUUAUCUCAGCAUCAGCAGCUCCGUCAGUUACAUCGCUCGCUCUUUUAAAUGGUAUUUUUGGUGCUUAUGUUUAUAAAAAACAUAAUAAAUACAAAAAACAGCGAACACGUAUGUAACAUAAAAAGGUUUAUAAGAGUACAUGAGAUUAUUAUAUUUUAUUUGUUUUAAAAAAAAAUUAAUUUCUUAUAUAUUAAGACUAUUUUUAUUUUAUUUUAAAUACAUGCAUUUAUUGUGCGUUAAGUAAUUAUGUUAUUAAUAUUUACACGUAUAUAUAUAUAUAUAUAUAUAUACACUUUUUAAAAUUAAAUUGUUAUUGUGUACUAGUACUAAUUGAAACAUAGGUAAUUGUAAGUUUAUUUAUAUCUUUUAUGUUAAGCGAUUUUUAUGUUCAUGUAUCAUUGUGCAUUUGUAUUAAUAUAAUAUUAUUAAUUAUUUAUAUUAAUAUUCAUAUAUACAUAAAUACAUAUAUAUAAAUAUUUAUAAUAUAUUUUAUUAUUGUUGUAACUUUUUAAAUUGUGCUUAUUUAAUAAACAAAAUUCAUUUUUAUUCA